GGAAAACCAACAGGACCCUAGAAUGACGUUUUGAAAGAAAAAGAAAUAAAUGAAAAAUAAAUUUUUAUAAAAUUAUGACAUUCUGGAGGUGAAGAGGUUAAAGUCAUGACAAAACCUGCUGAGAAUAUUUCUCUUCUCCCGCCAAAAAAUUUCUAAAGAAUUAAUUCAAUUGAGAAUGCUUACGAAUAUAUGAAAUGAUGAAAAGUCAGAUUUACCAUCUAUGUUCCAGAGUCUCAGGAUUUCAAAUCUUUCUAAGAAAAGCUCCAAGUCUAUUUUUACUCAGUUCUGGCCUGCCAGAAUUAAAGCAGAUAUUAAAUAAUGAAGAAAAUGAAGACCAGAGACAUGAAGGAAACAUAGACUUCUUCAUUGUGAAAAGUUGGCCAGAAGGAAAAAUAUCAUCAAAGCCAUGGAUCCAUUAAUGAUAUUGAUUAUACCUGAGCUCCAGGAAGACCUCUUUCCCCUGGGAAACCACGUAAUCCUGCUGGUCCAUCUUUCCCUGAGAUACCUUGAGGACCUGGAUCACCCUAAAGAAUAUAAUAAACAUCGUCAAGACAGAUUAAUUUCUACACAUCUUUCUACAAACAAAAUUGUGAUUACCUCUAAACUACUAAAAGAAAGAAAUCUGUGAAGGCUGAGAUAUUUUCAUGAAAGAUGUCUGAGAAAAUUUAUGAAUGGUGAGGAACUUCACCUGGACUCAUAGAAACAGAUACUUUGAAAAGGAGGAGAAGAUGGAAGGGCUUUCUAGGAGAGGAAACAGCUUGGGAAAGGAUUCAUUUCUUCUCAGUACAUAAAUUUCGGAGCUAUUGAUGACAGCACAAAAAACAAAACAAAGAAACAGCAACAAAAACUAGACCCGGAAGUCCAUCAAACCCUCGAUCUCCCUGUAAAACCAUCAUCAUCAUCAUCAUCAUCAUCAUCAUCACAAUUCCAGUCUAGAUAUGUACUGCAAUUUAAAUGCGAAAUAUUCUCUCAGAUUCAGAAAAUGGAUUUUUAAAUAUAAAAUUUUCCAGAGUGAACUGACACAGGAUGUGAAUAUAAAAAUAUGUGAGCUCCUGACCUUUGCCCCAGGUUCUCCUGGCAUUCCUCUUCCUCCAUCUGCACCUGGACGACCCUAAUAAUGCCAACAGCAUGAUUAAGCGAAGUGACUUUUAUUACUAGCAAGGAAGUAAAAUAAAUAAAUAAAUAAAUAAAUAAAUAAAACUAAUGAUCAUGGCAGAUGCCUUCAAAAUGCACAAUGAAAAUAAGCCAUACCCUUUUUCCAG
rnacentral:lncRNA from 1 species